rnacentral:rRNA from 1 species
UACGUAGGGUGCGAGCGUUAAUCGGAAUUACUGGGCGUAAAGCGUGCGUAGGCGGUUCGUUAAGUGCGUCGUGAAAGCCCCGGGCUCAACCUGGGAAUGGCGUGGAAACUGGCGGGCUGGAGUAUGGCAGGAGGGGGGUGGAAUUCCGCGUGUAGCAGUGAAAUGCGUAGAGAUGCGGGAGGAACACCGAUGGCGAAGGCAGCCCCCUGGGCCAAUACUGACGCUCAGGCACGAAAGCGUGGGGAGCAAACAGG